AUGCAACAUCUCGUCAGUCUGGUGUUCCAGGUCGGUUCAGUGGGAGUGGGUCUGACUCCCACUUCAAAGUCUUUCCAGCCUGGACAUACUGUCUCUAUCAGCUGCUCAGCCAGUCGUGGUGUUUACACCAAUCUACACUGGUACUCCCAGAAACCUGGAGAAGCUCCUAAACUCCUGAUCUACACGGCAACAAAUCGUCAGUCUGGUGUUCCAGCUCGGUUCAGUGGGAGUGGGUCUGGUACACAGUUCACACUGACCAUUACAGGAGUCCAGCCUGAAGAUGCAGCAGAUUACUACUGUCAGCAGGGAUACUCUGGGUUACACGGUGUUAGAGCGCCGUACAAAAACCUUCUGUACAUCCAACUUGCUUGCUCCAUGAAUGACUCUCUAAUAAAGAUCAUCUGA